GGAUUCGUAGCUCAGCUGGUAGAGUGCUUGCCGCGUUGAGGCAUGCCGUGUUUGUCGCUGGUUCGAAUCCAGCUGAAGCCC
rnacentral:tRNA from 1 species